UGGCAGUUACCGAAGUGUAGUGGGAGGGUGUUAGCCGAAUGGUAAUACCCCGGUCACGUGAGGUCUCUGUGUGUGCGCAGACUCCGUCACAGACCCCUACGUCACAGCUGUGGGAUCCGGACCGAUCGGAUCCAUAGUUCGUGACAUACAGCUCAAAAAGAGGCGGGAC